CUGAGUUAAAAAUAGAUAGAAAAAUAAUAGAACAUAAUAGUAUACAGUAUUUGUGUACAUGUAGUUUAGUAAACCCUCCCAUCUGAGAGAGCUUGCUCAUGAGAUCGGAAGGAGUGACAGGGAUGAUGGUAGGAUGAGCAAGCACCUAAAGAAGUUAAAUGGUACUGAUCCUGAUGAUAAGUUCCAGUGCAUUAGGUAACUUAGCCACUUUUCCACCAGAACCAUCUCAGCUGGUUGCAAGUACGUCGAAUAUGGUAUUGACAUGUGGUCAGUCAUUACGACACUAUACGAGCAAUACACUGGUCAAAUAUUGUUCCCUGCCAAUGAGAUACUCAAGUUGAAUAUGGAGCUGUAAGGGAAGAUGUCACAUAAAAUGGAAAUGUGUAGGAAGACUCAUUUUUUAAUAGCAGUUUUAGUUUCUUUCAAUAAAGUAACACAAAAAGUUGUGAACCUGAAUUAUCACCUAAAGGACUGAUCUCUCAUUUAUGUUACUGGAGAGCUACGUCAGCCUCAAGAGGCAGUUCGUAGGUACCAGCAACAAGCACUUACUGAUGAUCACUGGGUUAUUGAUAAAGAUGAGGUGACUUUGACAAAAGAGGAGUUAGGAAGAGGAUCUUGAGCUGUCGUUACAAUUGGUAUUUUUAGAAGUUUAAGAGUAGCUGUCAAGUUACAUCAUACUGUCAUCAUCUCAGAUUUUAACCUAGCUCUCUUCUCUAGGGAAAUUAGUACAGUAUAGCAUCACGAGUACGUCAUCCUAACCUGGUCCAGUUUAUUGGUGCAACUGAAGUGGGUAAUCCUCUCAUCUUGACUGAGCUGAUGAGCACUAGUCUUAAUCAGGAGCUUUACAGAACUGAUAAACCAAUCAACAGAUUCUGAGUAUUGCUCAAGAUGUAGCUUUAGGCCUCAGCCUAUUAUUCACAGAAUGUGAGCAGUCCUAACGUAUUAUUAAAGCCUUGCACUGGACCUGCUGGUUAUGAAGCUAAAGUAGCAGAUUAUGGUACAGCUAAGUUAGUUCAAGUUGACAGUAUUGGUACUGUUAUGCCAGGCAAUGUCGCAUAUCCAGCACCAGAAGCUCGUGAUCCUGAUCAACACAGUCCAGCAAUGUUACUCUGUACUUUAUUAUGGAAAUAAUGUUGUACUCUUCCCCCAGAAAUGACGACAGCAUGAGAGAGAUGUACAAUCUGGUAGUGUCUCCUGGUCUGAUAUGAAGUCUCUCAUACAAAGAGGACUUAAUGCUAAUCCUAGAGCUCGUCCUACUAUGGCUCAAGUAAUAGAGUCAUU